CUGUGUGCGGAGAACAGGAGAGGUGCUCCUUUUGACAUCCACUCUGCACACGGACGAUGUUCACCAUGGAGGUGGGAAAACCAUUCCUGCUGUGAGGAGGAUUCUGCUCACCCUUCCUCUUGCAGCGCAGCGCAGGCUUCUGGAGCCUCUACAGGGGGCAGAAAUGCAGUGAACACGUGGCUGGUGGGAUCUGUGUUGAGCUGAACAGGAAAUGGGGAUGUGGUUUUGAAGAUUCCUAAGUGGCAAAGAACUCCAGUGCUUGUGCUCAAGACCAUACCGACCUGCAAAUGAGUUAUUUGGUCUCCCGCGCCCUGUGGACCACGAGCAAGAACUUUGUGGAAGCCACAAACAGAAACUGCAGCCAAGGUGCACAGACUGGGACAGACGGGGAAAGAGAAGAAGCUGGUUAAGCCUGCUGGUGAAGUCAGACACGGGUAUGAAGAUGGAGCAGCUGACAAAGGACUGGGGAGGUUGUUGGUUGUGCUAACCAAAGCCAACAGCAGGGUCCAAGACAUUCCAGAGCUUCACAAAGAUGGAGAAAAAACUUGUCUCAAUUCAAAACAGCAAAGCACCUCCCUUCCAAAACUGACAAGAUGGAUGAAACACACAACACAGCCUCUUUCCUGGGCACCAGAGCAGAUUAGAUAAAAGGGCAUAACAAGACAGUGAGAGAAAAGCCUUUUAAGAUGAC